AACGAACGCUGGCGGCAUGCCUAACACAUGCAAGUCGAGCGAGACCUUCGGGUCUAGGGGCGCACGGGUGCGUAAGGCGAGGGAAGCUGCCCGUAGGGGCGGAAUACCUCCCCGAGAGGGGUGCCAAUAGCGGAUAAUGGCUUCGGACGAACGAUUUAUUGACUGUGUAUGGGCACGCGUUGUAUUAGCUAGUUGGUAAGGUAAACGCCUACCAAGGCUGCGCUGCAUAGCUGGUGUGGGAGGAUGAUCCGCCACCCUGGGGCUGGGACACGGCCCAGACUCCUACGGGAGGCAGCAGUGGGGACUAUUGGACGACGGGCGAGAGCCUGAUCCAGCAAGGUCGCGUGAGUGUUGAAGGCCUUAGGGUUGUAAAGCUCUUUUACCCGGGCUGAUAGUGACAGUACCGGGAGAAUAAGCGCCGGCUAACUCCGUG
rnacentral:rRNA from 1 species